AGAGUUUGAGUCCUGGCUCAGGAUGAACGCUGCGGCGUGCCAUACAUGCAAGUCGAGCGAACAGAUAAGGAGCUUGCUCCUUUGAAGUUAGCGGCGGACGGGUGAGUAACACUGGGUAACCUACCUAUAAGAACUGGGAUAACUUCGGGAACCGGAAGCUAAUACCGGAUAACAUUUAGAACCGCAUGGUUCUAAAGUGAAAGAUGGUUUUGCUAUCACUUAUAGAUGGACCCGCGCCGUAUUAGCUAGUUGGUAAGGUAACGGCUUACCAAGGCGACGAUACGUAGCCGACCUGAGAGGGUGAUCGGCCACACUGGAACUGAGACACGGUCCAGACUCCUACGGGAGGCAGCAGUAGGGAAUCUUCCGCAAUGGGCGAAAGCCUGACGGAGCAACGCCGCGUGAGUGAAGAAGGGUUUCGGCUCGUAAAGCUCUGUUGGUAGUGAAGAAAGAUAGAGGUAGUAACUGGCCUUUAUUUGACGGUAAUUACUUAGAAAGUCACGGCUAACUACGUG
rnacentral:rRNA from 1 species